GUAACCUGCCUUAUAGUGGGGGAUAGCCUUUCAAAGGAAGAUUAAUACCGCAUAAGAUUGUAGUAUCGCAUGAUAUAGCAAUUAAAAGGAGCAAUCCGCUAUAAGAUGGACCCGCGUCGCAUUAGCUAGUUGGUGAGGUGAUGGCUCACCAAGGCGACGAUGCGUAGCCGACCUGAGAGGGUGAUCGGCCACAUUGGGACUGAGACACGGCCCAGACUCCUACGGGAGGCAGCAUG
rnacentral:rRNA from 1 species